UCUCCGUAGGUGAACCUGCGGAGGGAUCAUUACCAGAGAUGGCGGGCCUCCGUGCCCCCGUCCCCAACCCAUUGUUGACCAAAACCUUUUUGCCUCGGGGGCAGAGCGUCCGCCGCCGCCCCCGGAGGACCACCGAACGCUGUCUCUAUACGUCGGAGUAUUGAUUAAAUGAAUGAAAACUUUCAACAACGGAUCUCUUGGUUCUG
rnacentral:misc_RNA from 1 species